GACGAACGCUGGCGGCGUGCCUAAUACAUGCAAGUAGAACGCACAGUUUAUACCGUAGCUUGCUACACCAUAGACUGUGAGUUGCGAACGGGUGAGUAACGCGUAGGUAACCUGCCUGGUAGCGGGGGAUAACUAUUGGAAACGAUAGCUAAUACCGCAUAAUAUUAAUUAUUGCAUGAUAAUUAAUUGAAAGGUGCAAUUGCACCACUACCAGAUGGACCUGCGUUGUAUUAGCUAGUAGGUGAGGUAACGGCUCACCUAGGCGACGAUACAUAGCCGAACUGAUAGGGUGGUCGGCCACACUGGGACGGAGACACGGCCCAGACGCCUACGGGAGGCAGCAGUAGGGAAUCUUCGGCAAUGGACGAAAGUCUGACCGAGCAACGCCGCGUGAGUGAAGAAGGUUUUCGGAUCGUAAAGCUCUGUUGUAAGAGAAGAACGGGUGUGAGAGUGGAAAGUUCACACUGUGACGGUAUCUUACCAGAAAGGGACGGCUAACUACGUG
rnacentral:rRNA from 1 species